rnacentral:rRNA from 1 species
GCGAAGGCAGCGUACCGGCGCCACACUGACGCUGAGGCACGAAAGCGUGGGGAUCGAACAGGAUUAGAUACCCUGGUAGUCCACGCAGUAAACGAUGAAUGCUGGUUGUCCGGGUCGAAUGAGACCUGGGCGGCGAAGCGAAAGCGAUAAGCAUUCCACCUGGGGAGUACGCCGGCAACGGUGAAACUCAAAGGAAUUGACGGGGGCCCGCACAAGCGGAGGAACAUGUGGUUUAAUUCGAUGAUACGCGAGGAACCUUACCCGGGCUCAAACGGGAGCGGAAUGGACCAGAGACGGUUCAGCCUACGGGCCGCUUCCGAGGUGCUGCAUGGUUGUCGUCAGCUCGUGCCGUGAGGUGUCGGCUUAAGUGCCAUAACGAGCGCAACCCCCGCCGGCAGUUGCUAACGGGCAAUGCCGAGGACUCUGCCGGGACUGCCGCCGCAAGGCGAGAGGAAGGCGGGGAUGACGUCAAAUCAGCACGGCCCUUACGUCCGGGGCGACACACGUGUUACAAUGGGCGGUACAGCGGGAAGCCAGGCGGCGACGCCGAGCGGAACCCGAAAGCCGUUCUCAGUUCGGAUCGGAGUCUGCAACCCGACUCCGUGAAGCUGGAUUCGCUAGUAAUCGCGCAUCAGCCAUGGCGCGGUGAAUACGUUCCCGGGCCUUGUACACACCGCCCGUCAAGCCAUGGGAGCCGGGGGUGCUUGAAGUGCGUCGCCGCGAGGCGCGCCCUAGAGCAAAACCGGUGACUGGGGCUAAGUCGUAACAAGGUAACCGUAA